GACAGAGGCCCCAAGCGUUAGGCGGAAUCACUGGGCUUAAAGCGUGCGCAGGCGGUUCGUCGUGUCCGAUGUGAAAGCCCCGGGCUCAACCUGGGAAUGGCAUUGGAAACUGGCGGACUCGAGUGUGGCAGAGGGGGGUGGAAUUCCGCGUGUAGCAGUGAAAUGCGUAGAGAUGCGGAGGAACACCGAUGGCGAAGGCAGCCCCCUGGGCUAACACUGACGCUCAGGCACGAAAGCGUGGGGAGCAAACAGG
rnacentral:rRNA from 1 species